UAUUUUAAAUGCUUUGAUAUUGCAUAAAUUAUGAGGACGACUCUAUGGACAUGUUUGGCGAUGAUUCGGCAAGUGUAAAAUCCCGAUUGAACUUUAAGAAUAGAUUAGGUUACGAAUGACAUGUCAUUAGGGGUUAUGUGAUUUUGGGUGUUGGUCCGUACAUCCUACCGAUGGCUGAGUCAUCCGACAUGUGUUGCGGAUACUCGUCAACUUGUGUGAGCAGUACCGUGUAGCUUCGUCAUGACCAUCAGCUUGUGUGAGCAGACCUGUUGAUAGCUCUAGUAUGAGCAGUAUAUGGGAUACGAGAUUCAGAUAGCUUUGGCUAUAUACAUAUGUGGCACUUAGGGUGCGAGUUUCUUGAGUAUCCAAUAGUAUUCUGAAUAGUUCAACGGGUAUAUCGAAGAUAUAAAAUGGUGAUAAUAGAUACGUAUCAAUAGAGGUAUGUAUGAAAACUGAAUAUGCAUCGAACAUAUGAAAGAAUUGAUUUCGUGGUUAAAUAGAUGAUGGAAUACAUGUUAACAUUGUGGUUAAAUAUUUUGUAGUAUGUUAUAUGUAUAUUUUGAAUGGUAAAUAAAUGGUGAGUUUUGCUUAUUAUUUUCAUACGAG
rnacentral:lncRNA from 1 species